rnacentral:rRNA from 1 species
AUUGAACGCUGGCGGCAUGCCUCACACAUGCAAGUCGAACGGUAGAGGGGCAACCCUUGAGAGUGGCGAACGGGUGAGUAAUGCAUCGGAACGUGCCCAGUCGUGGGGGAUAACGUAGCGAAAGCUACGCUAAUACCGCAUACGAUCUGCGGAUGAAAGCGGGGGACCUUCGGGCCUCGCGCGAUUGGAGCGGCCGAUGUCAGAUUAGCUAGUUGGUGGGGUAAAGGCCUACCAAGGCGACGAUCUGUAGCUGGUCUGAGAGGACGACCAGCCACACUGGGACUGAGACACGGCCCAGACUCCUACGGGAGGCAGCAGUGGGGAAUUUUGGACAAUGGGCGCAAGCCUGAUCCAGCCAUGCCGCGUGCAGGAAGAAGGCCUUCGGGUUGUAAACUGCUUUUGUCAGGGAAGAAAUCUCCUGGGUUAAUACCUUGGGAGGAUGACGGUACCUGAAGAAUAAGCACCGGCUAACUACGUGCCAGCAGCCGCGGUAA